UGGCAGCAGGGAAAUAAACUGCUCCAGGGUGAGAGGCUGUGCUCCUUCCCAUAGGGGAGACAGCUAAACCUGAGUGCCAGCUAGGGGAAGGACUGAUCCCAGGGCAACCAACAGGACAACACCUUGCCCCAGAGAGGGGCAGCAAAAGGCUUUGUGCAUUUGGAACUGAGGGUAUUGGGACAGAAGGAGGACACAGAAGAGGCUUUUAAAGGCAAUUUCUAUCACAAAGAUGAACAUCGGCAGCAUGAGGAGGAGAGGAGACAGAGAAAAAUGUGUGAGCAGUAGGACUAUCACUUCUCCGGAUUCACACUCUGAAUAUGUCCCUUCCCUGAGAAUGCAGGGCAAGGUGUCUAUAGAGUGACCAGAUAAUAUGUUAGAAGGACGAACACCGGGAGUCAACCACUCUAUCCGUUACACGGGGCCAGACAUUGUUCAACAUCAAAGAACUGAUGGUAAUGGGAGGGUCAUCUGCCUUCCUGCCUUUGUCAGGUAGAAAUGAGGGGUCAAAACAAGCAACAUCAGUUAAAGUGACAGUGAUAACAGCAACAAUUAUGUGCUAUGAAUGUGACAUCAGUUAGACAGUCAUUACAUCUUAGCUAUUUUUCUCUUCCCCUCCCUCCUCUGGGGAGAAGGAAGGAACCCAGCUAUCUUAAAAUCUAGGAUACACAUCACUUGAAGGCAAAAAUGCACUUUCUUGUGCAAAAGAGAA